GACGAACCGAGCGAACGUUGUUCGGAAUCACUGGGCGUAAAGGGCGCGUAGGCGGCCAUUUAAGUCGGGGGUGAAAGCCUGUGGCUCAACCACAGAAUUGCCUUCGAUACUGGAUGGCUUGAGACCGGAAGAGGUAAGUGGAACUGCGAGUGUAGAGGUGAAAUUCGUAGAUAUUCGCAAGAACACCAGUGGCGAAGGCGGCUUACUGGUCCGGAUCUGACGCUGAGGCGCGAAAGCGUGGGGAGCAAACAGG
rnacentral:rRNA from 1 species